rnacentral:tRNA from 1 species
GCCUCUGUAGCUCAGUUGGUUAGAGAGCUGCACCGGAAUCGCAGGGCAGUUGGUUCAAUUCCUACCAGAGGAC